rnacentral:lncRNA from 1 species
AGCUGGAAUUACAGGUACGUGCCACCACUCCCAGGGGGCAAUUGGCAGAAAUGUCUAUCAAGGCGAAUGUGAAUGUUUUGGGGAAAACGUCAAAGUCCAACAGGGAUGGAAUCCGUGGCAAAGUGGCGACCCAGAACAGGGACUUGAGGACGUUGCAAAGUGGCUUCUGAACACAGAGACCGGAGGACGUGAACGAAGAAGGUCGGCUGGAGCAGAGGAACCGAAAACGACAAGAUGAAUGGGGACCCCGAGACAAGCCUGCCAGCAGCGGAUAUAAGGCAGGCACUCUUGAUGUGGAAAACUGGAACAGAGCGGGAGAAGGAUUGAAACAUGCUCAUCAAAAAGAGAAUGGAAACCAGAGUGGUCAUGGCCUUGGAGCUGAAUCUUGUGACUUUCACCUUCUUCCCACAUUUGUCCAAACCUCUUGUCCCUGCUCUUCAGGUCCUUGUGUGAUGUGACCCAGCUGACACCCUAGCCCCAGAUGACUGCCCCUGAAUUAGUCUCAGCUUCUCCAACCUGUUCCCUUAUCCUCUAUUCUUGCAUGUGCUGAUACCGUAUUGAGAACGUUCUUUAAUGUUAUUUAUCUCCUCUGGAAUAAUUCUGACUCCCUCCUCAAGCAUCACCUCCUCCAGGAAGCCCUCUCGGAUCCUCCAGGCUCAGCCAGUGUCUCCAGUGGUCCUCACAGUCUCCUGUACUUCCCAAGCUCAUCAUAUUGUCUUCAAAUUCCGUGGUUACAUGUUCCCCACUCGCCUGAGAAACAGGCCUCCCUUCCUUGUCCUGGGCCAGGGAUAGAUGUGGAGGUCUGCUGCCUCCUUCUAGGACCUCUCUUCCGCUCUCAGUUACCCCGCAGCGAGGUCUGGGCACAGGACAUUGAUGGGCAGCCUUCUGGCUUCCUCACUAAGCUGGACAGCUCCGCCCUGGCUCGCCAAGGCAGCUUCAGCCACAGGUGUAUCCAGCAGAGCCUCUAUCUCCUCCAUAAGGUCUGAUGAAACACUGCCAUCUAAAUCCUUUCCCCAGAACACAUUCCUAUGGUUGCCCUGGACAGAGAUUGUGCAAUCCUUGCAGUUUUUCUGAUUUCCUCCCUUUGAGCACCUGUCCCUAAAAGCCUCAGAAUGAAGAGGGCGUGCCCUCCAAAAAGUUCCUGCCCUACGGUUAAGCCUGCUGCUAAGUCAGCUUUCAGCGCUCCGUUUCUGAUGAUGAAAGCAAGAUGAGUCAGAUGGUUUGGGAACAAGGGAACUUCUAGAAAGAAGAGUCUAGGAAGCUAAGUUUUGUUAACCCUUCAGCGUCUCCUAAGCACUGCUAACUUUUAAUGUUUAACCCUUCCUCCUCCCUCUGUACCAUAGACAUCCAUUCUGAUGUGUUUGAUACAUGCCCUUACAUUAGUUUUUUAAGGAAAAUAUGCUUACAUUUGCCUUUCUUAUUGCUAUAAAUUUAUGGGGUACAGGUGUAAUUUUGUUGCAUGCAUAGAUUUCAUAGUAGUGAAGUCAUAUCCUUAAUAUUUAUACAUACUUGGAGUGUGUGUGUAUGUGUGUGUGUGUGUGUGUGUGUGUGUGUUAUUGAAUCAAAUCAUUUCUGCUUCUCCCAGCUCUAGGCUACUAAGAAUCUGGACUGCUGCUGCCUGUACAACUAGUUGAUUACGAUUUGUUUCAUGUGUGUACUCACUACACUUUACUUACUCUUUGCCUGCUCAGGGUCUUGUAGGUUACCCCCAACUCUGCUACUGUAAACAACACUGUGUUGAACAUCCUUGUAAAUGCCCUUGGAGAAACCUUCUCUAAAAAGUAUCUCUUUUUAAAAUAUCAGAGGGUAUAUGCCACCUGUAUUUCACUACAUACUUCCAGACUGUUUUCCAAAUUACUGAACUAAUUUAUACUUCCACCAGCAGUGAGCAACAGUUCCCACUUCCUCACAUCUUCACCAACACUUAAUACUAUGCAUCUUUUUAAUGGUUGCAUUUUAAUUGGUAUAAGGUUGUACCUCAUUAUUUUUUCUACAAUUAAGUAGACAUUAAACUUUCCUGAAAUAUGUGCUCAAUCUUUGGCUUCUUCUAUGAAUUGCCUUUUCAUUCCCCUGGCCCAUUUUUCAAUUGAUUUUUG